rnacentral:miRNA from 1 species
GGCUAUGUGUGGUUGGACCUGU